rnacentral:lncRNA from 1 species
GUGUCCAUAGCAUGUGGAAGUUCCCAGGCCAGGGAUUGAACCUACACCAUGGCAGUGAACCAAGCCACAGCAGUGACAACACCAUAUCCUUAACUCACAUAGACACCAGGAAACUCUUGUUGCUUUCUCAAAAUAUAUAAACUUAUAUUAUUUCUUUGAGAAGCAGUUACUUAAAAACAUGUCAGAAGAUUUAAUUUAUAUAUGAAUUUAUGCUGAAAUUUACACUGGAAUAUACUUUUAUUGCAUUUUACAAUUUAUUACUUACAAAUAAAAAUGUAAGUUUUGUCUACAGGACUAAACUAAUAUAUCAGUGGAAUAACAUAACCCAUUUAGUUGUGCAGAAUAAUUGAUAUUCUUAUAUUUAAAUGAUGAUGCUGAUACCAAGAAAACACAGGCAUGAACUAUCAAGACUCAAAAAAUAAAUACUUAAUUUCUGCUACAGGGUGUUAUAUAACAACUCGAUAUUAUUUGUGUUUUAUUUUCCAACCUACUGUGAAGUAAUAUCACAGCUAAACAAGCCUCUCUACAGGCUUACAUACAGAUUUAUGAGAUUUUUUUCAAGAGCUACCAAUUCAUUAUUGCCCAGAAUUUCCACUAUAAAUGAACCUAUGAUUCACAGGUACCAAACAGGUAAUGGAACAAGGAUCAAGGGUAGGAGUGUUUGUGCUUACAGAUGCUAAUGUGUUGAAUGUUAAAAGAGCAACCAUGAAAAUCUUCUAAUUGACACUGCAGAAUGGCACAAUUCCACACAUCUUAAAUAGAUUGGGCAGUUUGUUGAAUCUGUACUGAGUAAAAAUUUACUUCUAAUGUGGAAUAUUUCCUUUCUCAAUACUGAGCUACACACUUCUUACUCUGGCUUUGUUGAGUAGUUCUAAUUCCCUCUGCAAUGAGCCAUUCUUUUGAAUCAACCUAGCAUACAGCUAGUUGAUUGUUUAGGGAGAUGGGAGGAAAGGGAGAUGGGAGAAUACCCGGGAAGUGAUUCAGAGCAUGUAUUGCCAAAAAUUUUACACUGUGCAUGCUAUGCUUUUCCAAGUUGUCCUGUGCCCAAUUAGAACCUGAAUUUUUUUCUUUCAAAAAAAUGAAUUUCUGUCUAAAGCCCCUUGACUCCUACUACUGCUCAUAAAGAAUUCUCAGUCAGCAAUUUGCAGAGUAGGAAAGCCAGGGAUAAUGGAACUGGGCAGCCUUUACAAGCAAAACAAAACAGCAAAGAAAGGGAAUAAAAAGGCUGACAAACAAUGUAAGCGCUCCCAUAAGGCUCAUACUUAUUCCCCCACCCCUUUAAAAUGUACCAUAAAAAAGCCUGAAUCAGCUGUGACCAUAAUGAUGCAAAGUUUUGAUUAUUAAGGCAAAUUAUACCUUCGCUAUUCAGGAAAGGGCAAAAAAGUUUUGUGGCUCAUCAAAAGCAGCUGGGAAUAAGAGCCAAGGCCACUGACACUUGUGGUGGCAGAUUAAGCUGUGAGCAGACUCUAAAUAAAUUCCAUUCUCCCCCAUCCCCAAAAUACACUAUUCUGGCUAAUAAGACUGACUUGCAUUCUAUGCAUGCCAGUACACUAUCCAUUCAGGAUCACUUAUUUCAGUGGGAGACAGGGAGGGCAGUCUUCUGAAUUAGGAAGCUGUAACAGAUUAGUUUUGUGUGUGUGUGUAACAGACUGUUAACUAUGAAUGAUUACAGUCUCUGCUUUAGAUUUAAAUAAAUCACAUAUUUUGCAAAAUAGUCAAAAGCUUUUUAAGUCAAGAAAAAAAGAAAAAUUGUUUGUUUAAUUUUUGAACCAGAAAUUAGCCUUUCUGUCAACUAGAAUACAUAACGAACAUCAUUCUUUGAGAAACACAAAGUAAGAUUUGUAAAGACAUAUGAUUAAGUCAGCCAAACCAAAGUUUUCAAAGAUAUAUAAGUUUACAUACGAAUAAAAUGCUCAAAAUGCCUUGUGAACUCUGACUUUCUUGAUUAAGUGAUUUUUCUUUUGGUGCUGAUAAGGUUUUUUAAAAGCUGUUUUGUAAAAUACAUUACCAUUUAGAAGAGAAAUAAAAAUAUAUAUAAAUCAUAAAACUUAGGAGAAAAACAUGAAGUAAAUAAAUUUUAAUAAUGUAAAGAAAACCAUAACAAUAAUAAAAUGAAGUUAUAGAAAAAGAAAUGUCAGUAAGGACCAUAAACCAAAUGUCAUUAAGAAUAUUGACAAUCUAAUGCAAAUUCAGCAUUAUCACUCAAACUGAAUCAACUACAAGUACUGGAAAAAAUUCAUAAUCUCAUUUUAAAAUUAAUUAUAAUUCCUUCACUAUGAUUUUAAGAGAUAAAAGAAAAAGUGCAUAUAGGAAACAGUUUUGGAUAUUUUAGUAAAAUCCAUUUUUUCCAUAUUUAAUGAUAUCCCUAUCAUUGUAUGUAUACUUUAUAUUUGUCCAUUUAUACAUCAAAAUAAUAUUUUCAAUCUAACUAGUAUACAAAGACCAAAAAAUAUGUUCAAAUUUAUAACAAUUCAUAAAUAACUGCAGGUACAUAUUGAGGAGACUAGCCUUCUAUUGAGGAAAACUUAUCUUUACCCAGUUUCUUACGUCUUGAAGGAAAAAACAUCCCCAAUCACAUCACCCGACUCGACAAUGGCAAUUAAACACAACAAAGUGCCUUCAAAUUUAAUGAAAUGCUCUAUAUAUCAUCUCACUCAUUCAGUGGCAGUGAUGUAAAGAAGGCGGGUAUCUCAUAGUACAAGCCUCCUAAGAGAUAUAAAUUUGAUUGGCAAACUCUGCUUAGAGAUCAUUUGCCUUCUAUUUACAAAUAAGAAGGAAGUUGAAACAAGUAUUAGAAUAUGAUCUCUGAGAAUCACUAUGGCAUAUCUGAUGUUAACUACAAUCACAUUCAGAAUCUUAGUUUUCAUUCUGUGGUGAGAUAAGAUUCCAAAUAUUGUUUUCUCCAAAAUACAGUGAAUUAAAACAACAAUUAGGUCAUUAUGCCAGCUUCACUGUACUGCUUAUACAACACAGAGGAUAUAGAAUUUAUGGGGAAAAAUGAGUAUUGACCUUGACCAGCUCCCUGGUACAAAUUACACUUUUCAAUGCUAAGGAUACAAAGAUUCCUCAUUAAAGGGAAACUUGGGAUCGUGUAGGUACAUGGAUUCAGAGAGUUUUAUAGCUACCAUCACACCACACUGUUGAGCUCAUGGAAACAAUUGUUAUAUUAAAAAAAAAUGAAUGAUAACAGAUUUCUGUUAACAUUUCCAAGUGAUUUUCUCAUGAAUGAUACGUAAUCAUCGGUGAAUGCCUAUAUACAUAACUCAGAGCUCUUAGUAUCCCUUUUUGAAUGAUAUUAUCAAAUACUGCUUUUAAAAAGUUCCCUGCUUUGAACAAAGAUUUAUAGAUUAAAUCAUAUGACUAAAAAAAGGCACAUGUUCAUUUAAAUGUACUUUAACCAUUCUCUCCAGAAAACUUUAUCAAAGUCACAAAAUCUUUCAAUAGUAUAUUGCUUUUAUCAACAAUGAUUGUAUAAUCAGAAAUUGAUUAAGUCUCUGUAAUGGACUGAAUUGUCUUCCCUAAAAUUUCAUAUUUUGAAUCCCUCACCCCUAAUGUGACUGCCUUUGGAGACAGGUCCUUUCAGGAAGUCAUUAAGUUUAAAUGAAAUAAUAAGAGUGGGCCACCCUAAUCCAAUAGGAGUGAUAUCCUUUUAAUAAGAGACACUUGAGAUAAAAUAAAUUUUUAUGGUCUAAGUCAUUCAGCCUAUGGUAUUUUGUUAUGGCAGCCCUCACAGACUGAUAGUUUCCAUAAAUAUUAUUUCUUCAUUUAAAAAGUGAGAGGCCUAGCCUGACUAAGGAAUGGUAAAAUAAGACUACAUGACACCAGUCUUUUUGUUUCCUUGCUCACAGUAGACAAAUUAUUCCUGGUAACAAAUUAUACCCAAUCCAUAAGAACUAUCUUGUGAGAUAAAGCCUAGACAUCACAUGCAAGUAGGAAGAUGUCUAAGAUCAGUUACAGGAUCUUUGGUCCCUACUAUUCAAAGCGCGGCCAGACCAACAGGAAGGACCCAGAAGCUUGUGAGAAAUGCAAAAUCUCAGCCUCUAGACCAAGCUUCUAAAUCCUGUUUACCUUUUAAUAAUAUCCACAAUGGACAUUAAAGUUUCAGAAGCACUGAACUAGGACUCAGAAGUUUCUAAAAGGAAGUUUGCAAAAACCAGUAGGCCACAAGAAAGGUAGCACAGCAUAUAUUUUGUUUGGUUUCUACACUAUUCAAAAUUUUUUGAAAUUUAAAAUUUAAUCCAAAAAUUAAAUGUAGGGAGGGUCCAUACAAAGAUAUGAAUUUACUGAUAAGCUGGAAGAUCAUGUAAAAACAGACUAACAGACUUCUGCAUGACAUCAGAGGAACAUGAGUGACACUGCCUCUUUUACAACAGGACAUGACAUCUUUCCUGUGACCAGGCUCAUCACAGUCCUCUUCAUUUACUUAUAUUAUCUGCUUGGCCCUUCUAGGCAUCUGAGUUAUAAUCCCUGUUUUUAAAUUUCCUUUUCUUCCCCAUAGGACUGGAAGAAAAACAAAAACAAAACAAAACAAAAAAAACAGGAAACAUUUAACAGUAAGAAAUUUUAAAAUACAUUCUCAUUUAAUAAUUUUUAGAUUUCUAUUUAUUUUUCCUCAUUUCUACCUAUUCUUUAGCAAUAUUUGCUUUGAUCUGAUCCUUAACAUUACUUUUCUGAUAGCAUAUGAAUUAUGAUCUUAACUCGUUCAUGAGAUGGUGUGUAACGUAAAUUUCUAGCAAUCUGAGAAUAUUUUUUUAAAUGGAAGAUACUGAUUUUAUUUAAAUUGUUUCUUUUCAUAUCUUAGAAAGCAAUUUUGAAAAUCUUGUAUCUCAAAAUAUUUUUAGGAGCCUAAGAAAAAUAUGAGGAAAAUUAGGGGGGGUCAAAGAAAGAUAAAAAUGAUAAACGAAUAAAAUGAUGAUUAGCUGACUGAAGACUAAAUUCAGAAGAGUAAAUGGCACUAGUCUGGAGAAUGCCAAAAAUCCAUCUACAUUAACUGCCUUUGGUAACUACUUGGAAAUAUAAAAGAAUUAAUCAUAAGAUAUAUUGCCUCAAAGAUAUUUUUAUGGAAGUUAUGAAAACUGAUAAUUCUUAGCUCCAAAAAAUACCUUGGGCCUUGAAUUUGAAUCUUUUUAGGGAUGCUGAUUUUCAGUGGAAUUAAUGGAAAUUAAGAAAAUGUGUAAUAUACUGGUAAUAUUAUUCUCAUUUUCACUUCCCAUUACACUAAGAAUUUCAUCCUCCUACUCUCAAGCCCCAAGUCUUAUUCAGAAUUAUGAAGCCAUUUACAUUUUUGUUAAAAACAUAACCCUGUGCACUAGUUGCCUUAAAUACUAUAAGCAUUCACAUAAUUUAAACCAUAAUGUCAAUAGCAACAAACAACAAAUCUUUAUCUCUAGUUUAACUCAUUCAAGUUCUCCUUCAUUACCUUUUAUCAAACACCAAAAAUGUCUACCUAAUAAACGCGACCUCAAAUUAAAGAUAUCCAUUACCAGAAGUUCCCACUGUGGCUCAGUGAUAAUGAGCCUGACUAGUAUCCAUGAAGAUGCAGGAUCAAUCCCUGGCCUCGCUUAGGGGGUUAAGGAUCUGGCAUUGCCGUGAGCUCUGGUGUAGGUCACAGACUCAGCCUGGAUCCUUCGUUUUGCUUUUUUUUUUAGGGUUCCUCCUGUGGUAUGUGGAAGUUCCCUGGCUAGGGGUCGAAUCUGAGCUACAACGGCUGGCCAGGGAACUUCCACAUGCUGCAGGUAUGGCCAAGAAAGAAAGAAAGAAGGAAAGGAGGAAGAAAGAAAGAAGGAAAAAAGGAAAGAAAGAAGGAAGGAAGGAAAGAAAAAGAAAUUACCUCAUUUUUCCCCCAUAUAUCAAUUUUUCUUAGUUAUUGCUGUAAUUUUACCUAUAAUUUAAAAAAUAAAAGCUGGAGAUAGGAUAAAAUAUGUUACCAAGUCCCAGCAGUUUUUCCCUGAAAGCCUGUAUGCAGUGUGCCCCCAUCCUCUAGAUUUUCCCUGUCCAGACACAUUGAGAAAGGUGUCCAUGGUUUUCCCCCAUUUUAUUAGGACUCUUCCAAUCCUCUCAUCUACUAUUUUCCAAUUUAUCUUUAAGCACAUCAUCACAUAAUAUGUUCCUAUUUAAGUAUCACAAAUACCACAUACCACUUCAUGAUAAAUUGAAUCUAAAUUCUCUUGUUAGCUUUUAAGUCAUUCAGAAUUGGACUCUACUUUUUCCAGCUAU